GAAAUGUCCAUUAGUGUUUUAUUACAGACUUUAUGGACAUUAAUCUUCAGUCCCCAAACCACUUGCAAAAUACAGAAAACUCCUAAGUUUUAGUUUAGGCAUGCAUCUGAUCAUCAUACGUCUAAAGUAUGACAGAGAAUGCUACAUUCGUCAAGCCAAAUUAACUAGUUUUCUUCUCUAAAGUUUAUUCCCCUCUGAUGCUGGAAGCUGAGCAAUGAAGAAGGCUGCAUGACAGACAGAUUUAUUCUGGUGCCAUCGAGGCAGCGGUAAAGGUGAAAAUCAGACAGAGCCAUCAAAAGAAGCAAACGCAUCUUACACACAUAUA
rnacentral:lncRNA from 1 species